UACGAAGGGGGCUAGCGUUGUUCGGAAUUACUGGGCGUAAAGGGCGCGUAGGCGGAUAUUUAAGUUGGGGGUGAAAUCCCGGGGCUCAACCUCGGAAUUGCCUUCAAAACUGGAUAUCUUGAGUUCGGGAGAGGUGAGUGGAACUCCGAGUGUAGAGGUGAAAUUCGUAGAUAUUCGGAAGAACACCAGUGGCGAAGGCGACUCACUGGCCCGAUACUGACGCUGAGGCGCGAAAGCGUGGGGAGCAAACAGG
rnacentral:rRNA from 1 species